UACGUAGGGUGCAAGCGUUGUCCGGAAUUAUUGGGCGUAAAGAGCUCGUAGGCGGCUUGUCACGUCGGAUGUGAAAAUCCAGGGCUCAACCCUGGACCUGCAUUCGAUACGGGCAGGCUAGAAUUCGGUAGGGGAGUCUGGAAUUCCUGGUGUAGCGGUGAAAUGCGCAGAUAUCAGGAGGAACACCAAUGGCGAAGGCAGAUCUCUGGGCCGUAACUGACGCUGAGGAGCGAAAGCAUGGGGAGCGAACAGG
rnacentral:rRNA from 1 species